rnacentral:rRNA from 1 species
UACGAAGGGGGCUAGCGUUGCUCGGAAUCACUGGGCGUAAAGCGCACGUAGGCGGCUUUCUAAGUCAGGGGUGAAAUCCUGGAGCUCAACUCCAGAACUGCCUUUGAUACUGGAGAGCUUGAGUCCGGGAGAGGUGAGUGGAACUCCGAGUGUAGAGGUGAAAUUCGUAGAUAUUCGGAAGAACACCAGUGGCGAAGGCGGCUCACUGGCCCGGUACUGACGCUGAGGUGCGAAAAGCGUGGGGGAGCAAACAGGG